rnacentral:tRNA from 1 species
GACAACGUGGCCGAGUGGUUAAGGCGACAGACUCGAAAUCUGUUUCGUUCGCGAGCACAGGUUCAAAUCCUGUCGUUGUCG